GAUGAACGCUGGCGGCGUGCCUAAUACAUGCAAGUCGAGCGAACGGACGAGAAGCUUGCUUCUCUGAUGUUAGCGGCGGACGGGUGAGUAACACGUGGAUAACCUACCUAUAAGACUGGGAUAACUUCGGGAAACCGGAGCUAAUACCGGAUAAUAUUUUGUACCGCAUGGUUCAAAAGUGAAAGACGGUCUUGCUGUCACUUAUAGAUGGAUCCGCGCUGCAUUAGCUAGUUGGUAAGGUAACGGCUUACCAAGGCAACGAUGCAUAGCCGACCUGAGAGGGUGAUCGGCCACACUGGAACUGAGACACGGUCCAGACUCCUACGGGAGGCAGCAGUAGGGAAUCUUCCGCAAUGGGCGAAAGCCUGACGGAGCAACGCCGCGUGAGUGAUGAAGGUCUUCGGAUCGUAAAACUCUGUUAUUAGGGAAGAACAUAUGUGUAAGUAACUGUGCACAUCUUGACGGUACCUAAUCAGAAAGCCACGGCUAACUACGUGCCAGCAGCCGCGGUAAUACGUAGGUGGCAAGCGUUAUCCGGAAUUAUUGGGCGUAAAGCGCGCGUAGGCGGUUUUUUAAGUCUGAUGUGGAAGCCCACGGCUCAACCGUGGAGGGUCAUUGGAAACUGGAAAACUUGAGUGCAGAAGAGGAAAGUGGAAUUCCAUGUGUAGCGGUGAAAUGCGCAGAGAUAUGGAGGAACACCAGUGGCGAAGGCGACUUUCUGGUCUGUAACUGACGCUGAUGUGCGAAAGCGUGGGGAUCAAACAGGAUUAGAUACCCUGGUAGUCCACGCCGUAAACGAUGAGUGCUAAGUGUUAGGGGGUUUCCGCCCCUUAGUGCUGCAGCUAACGCAUUAAGCACUCCGCCUGGGGAGUACGACCGCAAGGUUGAAACUCAAAGGAAUUGACGGGGACCCGCACAAGCGGUGGAGCAUGUGGUUUAAUUCGAAGCAACGCGAAGAACCUUACCAAAUCUUGACAUCCUUUGACAACUCUAGAGAUAGAGCCUUCCCCUUCGGGGGACAAAGUGACAGGUGGUGCAUGGUUGUCGUCAGCUCGUGUCGUGAGAUGUUGGGUUAGGUCCCGCAACGAGCGCAACCCUUAAGCUUAGUUGCCAUCAUUAAGUUGGGCACUCUAAGUUGACUGCCGGUGGCAAACCGGAGGAAGGUGGGGAUGACGUCAAAUCAUCAUGCCCCUUAUGAUUUGGGCUACACACGUGCUACAAUGGACAAUACAAAGGGCAGCGAAACCGCGAGGUCAAGCAAAUCCCAUAAAGUUGUUCUCAGUUCGGAUUGUAGUCUGCAACUCGACUACAUGAAGCUGGAAUCGCUAGUAAUCGUAGAUCAGCAUGCUACGGUGAAUACGUUCCCGGGUCU
rnacentral:rRNA from 1 species